rnacentral:rRNA from 1 species
CGCAUCUGUGCAUGCAGCAUAUCAAUAAGCGGAGGAAAAGAAACUAACAAGGAUUCCCCUAGUAACGGCGAGUGAAGCGGGAAGAGCUCAAAUUUGAAAUCUUAAAGGGUUUCCCUUUACGAAUUGUAGUUUAAAGAAGUGUUUUCUGUUGAGGUUUUGGUAAAAGUUCUUUGGAAUAGGACAUCAUAGAGGGUGAGAAUCCCGUAUUUGACCUUUACUUUCAACUUUGUGAUACACUUUCAAAGAGGUCGGAUUGUUUGGGAAUGCAGUCCAAAAUGGGUGGUAAAUUUCAUCUAAAGCUAAAUAUUGGCGAGAGACCGAUAGCGAACAAGUACCGUGAGGGAAAGAUGAAAAGAACUUUGAAAAGAGAGUUAAACAGUACGUGAAAUUGUCAAAAGGGAAGCGUUUGACACCAGUGUUGUUUUUCUGAAAAUCAAUUAAAGAACUGUUUAUGCUAAGCUGUUUAGACUUUAUCAGCUAUCUGUUUAGUUUUGAGCUUUUCUUUAAUGCACUUUUCAGUUAACAAGUCAACAUCAAUUUCUUUUGCUGUAAAAAAGCUUGAGGAAGGUGGCUUGAGAUUCGUCUUAAGUGUUUAUAGCCUCUUGCCUAUGCAGUCGGAGAGAUUGAGGUCUGCAGCGUAGAUCCUUCGGGGCUAAAUGCAUUUGUGCUAAGUUAUAACAUUUUAUAGACAACUUGUUGACUAUGAUUUGUCUUGUAGCUUACUCGCUUAUGUUAUUUUACCUACGCUUAGGAUGUUGAGCGCAUGUCUCUCUCU